ACGGAAGGCAGCAGUGAGGAAUAUUGGUCAAUGGUCGGAAGACUGAACCAGCCAUGCCGCGUGAAGGAUUAAGGCCCUAUGGGUCGUAAACUUCUUUUGUACGGGAGCAAUAAGGCUUACGUGUAGGCCGAUGAGAGUACCGUACGAAUAAGCAUCGGCUAACUCCGUGCCAGCAGCCGCGGUAAUACGGAGGAUGCAAGCGUUAUCCGGAUUUAUUGGGUUUAAAGGGUGCGCAGGCGGCUUUUUAAGUCAGUGGUUAAAUCGUGACGCUCAACGUCAUCACGCCAUUGAUACUGGAGAGCUUGAUUGCGGUCGAGGUUUGCGGAAUUCGUUGUGUAGCGGUGAAAUGCAUAGAUAUGACGAAGAACACCGAUUGCGUAGGCAGCAGACCAGGCCGUAAAUGACGCUCAUGCACGAAAGUGCGGGGAUCGAACAGGAUUAGAUACCCUGGUA
rnacentral:rRNA from 1 species